GAUGAACGCUGGCGGCGUGCCUAAUACAUGCAAGUCGAGCGAAUGGAUUAAGAGCUUGCUCUUAUGAAGUUAGCGGCGGACGGGUGAGUAACACGUGGGUAACCUGCCCAUAAGACUGGGAUAACUCCGGGAAACCGGGGCUAAUACCGGAUAACAUUUUGAACCGCAUGGUUCGAAAUUGAAAGGCGGCUUCGGCUGUCACUUAUGGAUGGACCCGCGGCGCAUUAGCUAGUUGGUGAGGUAACGGCUCACCAAGGCAACGAUGCGUAGCCGACCUGAGAGGGUGAUCGGCCACACUGGGACUGAGACACGGCCCAGACUCCUACGGGAGGCAGCAGUAGGGAAUCUACCGCAAUGACGAAAGUCUGACGGAGCAACGCCGCGUGAGUGAUGAAGGCUUUCGGGUCGUAAAACUCUGUUGUUAGGGAAGAACAAGUGCUAGUUGAAUAAGCUGGCACCUUGACGGUACCUAACCAGAAAGCCACGGCUAACUACGUGCCAGCAGCCGCGUAA
rnacentral:rRNA from 1 species